AUACGAGUGACAUACGAGUACAUACGAGUAACAUACGAGUAACAUACAAGGGGAAACAUUACAUCCCGGGCGGAGAGAGAGGGUGCGUCUGCGAUGCAUUAUGGUCAGUGUAGUGGAUAAAAUGGUAUUAUUCAACUACUCCCAUUUAUCCCAAUGAUUUAUAUUCAGUGAACUGUAAUAACAACAAUGUUGUAAUUACAGUUCACUGUUUAUAAUUGAAAAUGAUAAAAGAUAAGAUUAGAGGGUCAGCAAAAAACGAUGUACAUGUUGUAUGAGUUCAUGCUACGUAAUUGAUCGCUGAAUACGAAAACUUUUUUCUGCACUCGUCAAAAGCAGAGUGUAUAAUGCAAAAGGUUUGUAAGCAGAAUACAGGAAAUGGAUAGGACGUUAUGACAAAGUUGUGCUAAGCUUUAAGUGCUACCUAUUCAAGUUUACUUCUUCUAAAUCCAGCACAAUCAUUGAAGCACUUAUGACUGUUUGCCUGUUUCCUUGGAAACUUAUUUAAUGUAAAGAUGAUAAAUGUACACAUUUGUAUGAUAUCAAUGCCAAUAAUUUUAGCAUGGACAAACAAAAUAGUUGGAGAGGGCAGCAGAAAAGUCUAAAUUUAAACAGCUCGAAUGGAAAAACUGAAAGCAUUUGUCGCAUCCAAGCCAGUCUUCACCAUCAUUAUCUUUGCAGAUUUUGCAAACACCAGUAUUUCGUCUACAGCAAAACAAAGAAAUGAAUUUAAAAUGAAUUUAAGUUUCUCAUCCACUGUAUAAUGCUUUAAAGACUUUGGUUAAAACAUACUCAUGAAUAUCAUCAUAGCAAGAGCCAAAUAUGAGUGAUAUUAGUUUCUCUCUCUCUAAUUCCAUUUUAAAAUUUCUGUUUAGGCUUGAAUUUUCACAAAUACACCUUGCAAACUGUGAAAAGGAAAUUGUUAAAAUUAAUGUACAGGAAUAACCAUAUAUAUAUAAUUAUAUAUAUUUAUAUGCAUUGUGAUUUGUAGGCAUGGUUUGCAUUUUGUAGAAAUCUAGUGCCAUAACUACAAGAAAUGAGCAAUGUAUAAAUUAAUAGAAUGGAUUGUAAAAUCUCUGUGGGAGUGCUCACUUACAAGGCAAAUGAGUACACCACAAUUAAAGCUGUCCUGCUGUGAGAAA